CACAGGUGACUGGUGUGGUCUGAUAAAGUGUGAUCACUAUGCACUGAAAUUAUUCACACAACCAUGCAUGAGAGGCGGAUCCAACAAGCGGAGGCAGGGGAACAGCAGUGGAGCGAGACUUGAUAAGGCCGUAGACGUGAAUGCCCGGUGUUAUAGCAACAGUUUAAUUUCCAAACAAAGCCACGUCUUAUGACACUGUACGGAACGGUUUUUUAUUACUAUACAUGGACUAUAUAAAAGAGGCAGUACCUGAAGUCAAUUCCGGGCCUGAGGAAACGCCCGGAGGGUCUUUAACACCUACUGCCCUGCCGUUACACCUGUCUACGUGUAGCCACCCUUGUACUUUAAAAUAAAGAAGCACAGCAU